rnacentral:rRNA from 1 species
UGGGGAAUAUUGCACAAUGGGCGCAAGCCUGAUGCAGCGACGCCGCGUGCGGGAUGACGGCCUUCGGGUUGUAAACCGCUUUUGAUCGGGAGCAAGCCUUCGGGUGAGUGUACCUUUCGAAUAAGCACCGGCUAACUACGUGCCAGCAGCCGCGGUAAUACGUAGGGUGCAAGCGUUAUCCGGAAUUAUUGGGCGUAAAGGGCUCGUAGGCGGUUCGUCGCGUCCGGUGUGAAAGUCCAUCGCUUAACGGUGGAUCUGCGCCGGGUACGGGCGGGCUGGAGUGCGGUAGGGGAGACUGGAAUUCCCGGUGUAACGGUGGAAUGUGUAGAUAUCGGGAAGAACACCAAUGGCGAAGGCAGGUCUCUGGGCCGUUACUGACGCUGAGGAGCGAAAGCGUGGGGAGCGAACAGGAUUAGAUACCCUGGUAGUCCACGCCGUAAACGGUGGAUGCUGGAUGUGGGGCCCGUUCCACGGGUUCCGUGUCGGAGCUAACGCGUUAAGCAUCCCGCCUGGGGAGUACGGCCGCAAGGCUAAAACUCAAAGAAAUUGACGGGGGCCCGCACAAGCGGCGGAGCAUGCGGAUUAAUUCGAUGCAACGCGAAGAACCUUACCUGGGCUUGACAUGUUCCCGACAGCCGUAGAGAUGCGGCCUCCCUUCGGGGCGGGUUCACAGGUGGUGCAUGGUCGUCGUCAGCUCGUGUCGUGAGAUGUUGGGUUAAGUCCCGCAACGAGCGCAACCCUCGCCCUGUGUUGCCAGCACGUCAUGGUGGGAACUCACGGGGGACCGCCGGGGUCAACUCGGAGGAAGGUGGGGAUGACGUCAGAUCAUCAUGCCCCUUACGUCCAGGGCUUCACGCAUGCUACAAUGGCCGGUACAACGGGAUGCGACAUGGCGACAUGGAGCGGAUCCCUGAAAACCGGUCUCAGUUCGGAUUGGAGUCUGCAACCCGACUCCAUGAAGGCGGAGUCGCUAGUAAUCGCGGAUCAGCAACGCUGCGGUGAAUGCGUUCCC